GGGAGACUCUGUUAAGCUCAGGAGGGAUAGUGCCAUCAUGAUCAUUAAUUAGUGGCGCUAUCUAUCCUGAGUUUCACAGGUUCUUCUUGCUUUCUUCUUUUCCAGUGCAACUUCAACUUCAAAGAUAUAGUUGGCAUCAGGGUGUGUUUGUACUUCAAAGAUAUAACCGAUUGCCGAAAGCAGGCAGACUGAGGAAGGAAGAAUACGUUGCUUUCUUAUUGUUGAUCAUGUUGCUUUGCUAUGUUUUUAAGUUUUUGUUAUGAUUGUUUUGUUCCCUGCCUCUCUAAAGGUUUUU
rnacentral:misc_RNA from 1 species